UGAGUAACCUGUCCUUCACUCUGGGAUAACUCCGGGAAACCGGGGCUAAUACUGGAUAUGACUCGAACAGGCAUCUGUUUCGGGUGGAAAGAUUUAUUGGUGGAGGAUGGACUCGCGGCCUAUCAGCUUGUUGGUGAGGUAAUGGCUCACCAAGGCGACGACGGGUAGCCGGCCUGAGAGGGCGAUCGGCCACACUGGGACUGAGACACGGCCCAGACUCCGUACGGGAGCA
rnacentral:rRNA from 1 species